rnacentral:pre_miRNA from 1 species
ACAACAACAUUCGGACCGUCGGUCUACCGAGAAAAUAUCACCCGCACGGUGGAAGAUCUUCCCUUUGUCGUUUAAG